rnacentral:misc_RNA from 1 species
UGGGCUUGACAUCUACUUGCAAUCUCCGUGAAAGCGGAGACCUCCUUCGGGACAGGUAGACAGGUGCUGCAUGGCUGUCGUCAGCUCGUGUCGUGAGAUGUUGGGUUAAGUCCCGCAACGAGCGCAACCCUUGUCCUGUGUUGCCAGCGCGUAAUGGCGGGGACUCGCAGGAGACUGCCGGGGUCAACUCGGAGGAAGGUGGGGAUGACGUGUCGUUACCUUA